rnacentral:snRNA from 1 species
GGGCUCACUUUGGCUGCACAUAUAUUAAAAUUGGAAUGCUACAGAGAAGAUUAACGUGGCCCCUGCACAAGGGUGACACGCAAAUUCAUGAAGCAUUCCAUAUAUUA